CAGUCUGGCCUGCCCCCUGAAAUUUUAAAGGGCCGCGGUAUUUGGACCGUGCUAAGGUAGCAUAAUAAAUAGUCUUUUAAUUGGAGUCUAGUAUGAAUGGUCGGACAUGAAGUAAGCUGUUUUAAUUAUGGUAUUUGAAUUUUACUUUUAAGUGAAAAGGCUUAAAUUAAAUGGUGGGACGAUAAGACCCUAUAAAGCUUUACAUUUUACUUUUUGAUUGAAGGAGUUAGGGUUUCUUAUUUUUAGUGAGUAAAGUGUUUCGUUGGGGCGACGAGAAUAUAAAUAGUAACUGUUUUUAUUUAAAAAAUAUGUUUUUAUAGGUGAGCUGAUCCUUUAUAGAGAUUAUAAGAUUUAAGUUACUUUAGGGAUAACAGCGUAAUUUAUCUUGAGAGUUCAUAUCGACAGAUAUAGUUGCGACCUCGAUGUUGAAUUAAAAUGCCCCCGAGGUGUAGAAGUCUCGGCGGUAGGUCUGUUCGACCUUUAAAAUUUUACGUGAUCUGAGUU
rnacentral:rRNA from 1 species